GUUGUCCGGAAUUAUUGGGCGUAAAGAGCUCGUAGGCGGCUUGUCACGUCGGGUGUGAAAGCCCGGGGCUUAACCCCGGGUCUGCAUUCGAUACGGGCAGGCUAGAGUGUGGUAGGGGAGAUCGGAAUUCCUGGUGUAGCGGUGAAAUGCGCAGAUAUCAGGAGGAACACCGGUGGCGAAGGCGGAUCUCUGGGCCAUUACUGACGCUGAGGAGCGAAAGCGUGGGGAGCGAACAGG
rnacentral:rRNA from 1 species